AUUCGCGGGUUUACUAUUCUCUAUUCGAGGAAGGUUAUUAUAGGAUGUAGGCCAGGCUACUUGACAGCUGUAGGCCAGUCUGAGUAGACUAAAAGGUAAUAAGCAUAACGUAACGCUCUUCCCACGGGUUGACACAGCCUAAACAAUGUCCUUGUGUUGUACCUGUACCUAGUAGACUAGUGAGGCGCAAUUUUCAACAGCCAAUGUAUUCAACGUAGCUAAUAGAAACAAGCCGCUGGAACACCGAAAUACCUCUGUCACUUCAGCGCUCCUGGUUAUGUCAGUAGCUGCAUAUCAAAUGAAGAGGUGGAGGCUAACUUGAUUUACAUCUCUGUUGCUAUGACGCAGAAAACCACAACCGUCGGGGACAAAAUAACAAGCGAAAGGAGCGGCCAAGGGCUGAGGUGCCAGGGAAGGCCUGAGGAUGCAGGCAGGGAUGGAUAUGUGAGGUUGGCAGUUCCACGCAGCUGAGCGUCCAGCAUUCUCCCUUCCAUCCAGCAUCUCCAUGUGGUUUGAAUAGACAACAGACAAUGGGAAAACAAUGAUUCUGUAAGCAGAAGAGAGGCCUAAAAAUGUGAGGGUAGAGCCUUCUGACUCACAACAUAUGCACUAUUUUAAAGAUAAUGGGGUAUUUAUGUUGGUAUGAACCACUGACAUAAUGCACUCUCCAUUUAUAUCUGAGUUACGGUCUUUUAAAGGGUAUUUUUCAUCAUGACAUAUGUGCAUUAAGUUGAAUGUGUUUGUAUUUGUUUGCAUGGUUAUAGUAACAACUUCGCUGUAUACCCAAAGACAUGCUGUGCAGUAGUCUACUGCUUUAGCUCACAGAGCUCUGGUUUUGUCUUAGCAGACACUUAUCAGACAGUUGGCCUCCAACUGGGCCUGUCAUACAGUCAUCAGUAGCUGCUGGGGGACUCCAUGUUGAAAAUGGAUCCAAUUAACACAUACUGAGUGACCAAGGCUCUACUAUCAGGCCAUUAUCCAGUCUUUGGUAAGAGGACACUGUUUUACAGCCAGUAGGGCCCUGAAUUUAAGCCACUAGAGGGCACUUGCACACUUCUUAUUGCAAGCUUGUCACCUUACAGAACACAGGCUAUGGCCCUAAAGUUCUU
rnacentral:lncRNA from 8 species